AGGGGGCAAGCGUUCUCCGGAUUUACUGGGUGUACAGGGAGCGUAGACGGAUGUGCAAGUCUGCAGUGAAAGCCCGGGGCUCAACCCCGGGACUGCUUUGGAAACUGUGUAUCUAGAGUGCCGGAGAGGUAAGCGGAAUUCCCAGUGUAGCGGUGAAAUGCGUAGAUAUUGGGAGGAACACCAGUGGCGAAGGCGGCUUACUGGACGGUAACUGACGUUGAGGCUCGAAAGCGUGGGGAGCAAAC
rnacentral:rRNA from 1 species